CAACAACUGGAUAAUUUGAAUGUACCUGAUGUGGUUCACCAAGUUCUUACACAUUAUAGUGAGGUUCAGAUUCCCACAAGGAGAAACCCACUCUCACAGUCUACCCUGUGAAGACCCCUCAGAGUCUUAUUUCAGUAAGAUCUCCCACCGAUGGCUCCAAAGACACAGCCUUGAGGGAGCAACAGAAGUAACAAUACAGACUCCCAUUCCAGGGGAUUCCCUGCUUCAGAUGGAUGGACAAGUGUAGAACUGGGUGGCAGCAAGAGAAAGGCACUGGAGGAAGAUGGUUAGGAAGUUGUGGGCGUGCUUUGUCGGCGCUGGAAACAUGGCGACACUUGCGGGCUGCCCCCAGAACACUCUACGCAAAAGAUGCAUUUCACUGUGUGUUUCGAUGUGCAUGUGACUAAUAAAGAUAUCUCUUAUCUUAAAUCUA